CCUACGGGUGGCAGCAGUGAGGAAUAUUGGUCAAUGGACGAGAGUCUGAACCAGCCAAGUAGCGUGAAGGAUGACUGCCCUAUGGGUUGUAAACUUCUUUUAUAUGGGAAUAAAAUGUUCCACGUGUGGGCUUUUGUAUGUACCAUAUGAAUAAGGAUCGGCUAACUCCGUGCCAGCAGCCGCGGUAAUACGGAGGAUCCGAGCGUUAUCCGGAUUUAUUGGGUUUAAAGGGAGCGUAGGUGGAUUGUUAAGUCAGUUGUGAAAGUUUGCGGCCCAACCGUAAUAUUGCAGUUGAAACUGGCAGUCUUGAGUACAGUAGAGGUGGGCGGAAUUCGUGGUGUAGCGGUGAAAUGCUUAGAUAUCACGAAGAACUCCGAUUGCGAAGGCAGCUCACUGGACUGCAACUGACACUGAGGCUCGAAAGUGUGGGUAUCAAACAGGAUUAGAUACCCAAGUAGUC
rnacentral:rRNA from 1 species